UAAGACAUUUUUAAGACUCUAACCUUCGUAAGAAGGUAUGCUCGUAUACGAACUGAACGACCGGGCUUCACAACAAAAACAUGGCCACAUGAGUUGGAUUAUUCCGCAGCCCAACAUCAAUUUCAAUCGGUGAUAUUGUUUCUCAUGCAGUCGAAUAUCUGAGAGCUCAUUGCAACAAUGGAUUCCAAAAAUCCAAUCCUGAGAAACGCUUUACAGUGAUUAUGUCCCUCAUGUAAUAUUAUCGUGAACAUUAAUCAACAUGUCUGCAAGUGUGGCUAUAGGCUUUUUGAUGCCAAACGUAAAGCUCAGCCGGAAAGCCAGGCUCAGGCAAAUAUCAAGAGAUCAGAAAAAAAAACAUAUACCUGUUGUACAUGAUGAGUUGCAUAAAAGUGUGCAAGAUUUACAACACCAAAAGAAAUUGAAGGAGAUUGAAGAGGAGAUAACAAGGCUUCGAGCAAUUUAUGAUUCCCAAAAUAACAACCCAAAAAGGCGGACAAUUAUGUACACUGACACUUCGUCUAGAAAAAGCAGA